GAUGAACGCUAGCGGCAGGCUUAAUACAUGCAAGUCGAGGGGCAGCGCGGGUAGCAAUACCUGGCGGCGACCGGCAAACGGGUGCGGAACACGUACGCAAUCUACCUUGUUCUGGGGCAUAGCCCGGAGAAAUCCGGAUUAACUCCCCAUAGUAUUAUUGGGUGGCAUCACUUAGUAAUUAAAAUUUAUUGGAAUGAGAUGAGCGUGCGUCCCAUUAGCUAGUUGGUAGGGUAACGGCCUACCAAGGCAACGAUGGGUAGCUGGUGUGAGAGCACGACCAGCCACACGGGCACUGAGACACGGGCCCGACUCCUACGGGAGGCAGCAGUGAGGAAUAUUGGUCAAUGGACGCAAGUCUGAACCAGCCAUGCCGCGUGAAGGAUGAAGGCCUUCUGGGUUGUAAACUUCUUUUACAGGGAAGAAACUACGGUUUCUACUGUAGCCGACGGUACCCUAGGAAUAAGCACCGGCUAACUCCGUGCCAGCAGCCGCGGUAAGGUGACGCU
rnacentral:rRNA from 1 species